rnacentral:rRNA from 1 species
CGAUGUAUGCUUUGUCCAAAGAUUAAGCCAUGCAAGUGUCAGUUCACCAAAUAUUGUGAAACUGCGAACGGCUCAUUAAAUCAUUUAUAAUUUACUUGACAGUCAGCUUACUAUCGAAUAACCGGGGUAAUUCUAGAGCUAAUACGUACAACAAGCCUGUUUUGCAGGCUGUAUUUAUUGAAUUCAAAACUGGGGCCGCGAGGCGGGGUGAUUCACAAUAACUGGACGGAUCGGGGGUGUAUGCCUGCAACGUUUCAAUCAAAUUUCUGCCCUAUCAACUUUCGAUGGUAAGGUAGGGGCUUACCAUGGUGAUAACGGGUAACGGGAAAUAAGGGUUCAAUUCCGGAAAGGGAGCCUGAAAAAUGGCUACCACGUCCAAGGAUGGCAGCAGGCGCGCAAAUUACCCAAUGCCAAUACGGCGAGGUAGUGACAAAAAAUAACGAUGCGGGGCCGCAAGGCUUUGCAAUUGGAAUGGGAUGGGAGUAAAUAUUUUUUCAAGUAACGAUG